GUCAUAAAAGCAUCUCUCUCCUACCACACUGAUUGCUUUCUCCACCAUUUCCUUUGUGCAAAGUGCACUUUCUUUUCACUCUGACUUUAGAAAGGUUUCCCCAAAUCAUCUGGAGAUGAUCGUCAAUUCCUGAUCAACAAUGCAGCAACAAAAAUUAGAGCCUCCACAGUGAAGGAAACAGGCAACAAAAUAGAAGCUAAAAACUUCAGUAUGAAAAAGCAUGAUGCCCAGUACAUCUCUAGAGAAGACAGAGGUUUGCCCCCUGCAUAACAGAAAUAUGCUACAAAUCUAGUGAAGAUACAGCGCAGCCACAACAAGUCCAGAGAAUUCUCAGAUGGAGAAACACCAUGCCAGAGUUAUGAUUAGCACAGGGUUGGAGUUACCAGAAACAACUGAGCAGUUCCUGACUUUUCUUAUUUAGAAGAGAAAUCAGAAAGACAUGUACUGCAACUUCAUUGCAAAAGGAUGAAGAUGGAAGCAUAAUGCUCCAAGGGGGGGUCCUACCUGUCAAAUGCUUCCCUUGGCUCCUGAUGUGCAGACAGACCUCCACAGAACCAACAAGAACCACAGUGAGAACCUAAGAUCUGCAUUCCAGACCAAGUAGCACCAUAAUUUCCCUGGGAGCUGUGCUCUUACACAGCUUGCCUUCAUGCCCUGCU